GGCAAUCUGCCCUGCACUCUGGGACAAGCCCUGGAAACGGGGUCUAAUACCGGAUACUGAUCCGUCUGGGCAUCCAGACGGUUCGAAAGCUCCGGCGGUGCAGGAUGAGCCCGCGGCCUAUCAGCUUGUUGGUGAGGUAGUGGCUCACCAAGGCGACGACGGGUAGCCGGCCUGAGAGGGCGACCGGCCACACUGGGACUGAGACACGGCCCAGACUCCUACGGGAGGCAGCAGUGGGGAAUAUUGCACAAUGGGCGAAAGCCUGAUGCAGCGACGCCGCGUGAGGGAUGACGGCCUUCGGGUUGUAAACCUCUUUCAGCAGGGAAGAAGCGAAAGUGACGGUACCUGCAGAAGAAGCGCCGGCUAACUACGUGCCAGCAGCCGCGGUAAUACGUAGGGCGCGAGCGUUGUCCGGAAUUAUUGGGCGUAAAGAGCUCGUAGGCGGCUUGUCACGUCGGUUGUGAAAGCCCGGGGCUUAACCCCGGGUCUGCAGUCGAUACGGGCAGGCUAGAGUUCGGUAGGGGAGAUCGGAAUUCCUGGUGUAGCGGUGAAAUGCGCAGAUAUCAGGAGGAACACCGGUGGCGAAGGCGGAUCUCUGGGCCGAUACUGACGCUGAGGAG
rnacentral:rRNA from 1 species